UACGGGGGGGGUAAGCGUUGUUCGGAAUUACUGGGCGUAAAGGGUGCGUAGGUGGAUUGGUAAGUCAGUGGUGAAAUCUCCGGGCUUAACCCGGAAACUGCCAUUGAUACUAUCAGUCUUGAAUACCGUGGAGGUCAGUAGAAUAUGUCAUGUAGCGGUGAAAUGCUUAGAUAUGACAUAGAAUACCAAUUGCGAAGGCAGCUGGGUACACGAAUAAUGACACUCAGGCACGAAAGCGUGGGGAUCAAACAGG
rnacentral:rRNA from 1 species